rnacentral:tRNA from 1 species
GCACUGGUGGUUCACUGGUAGAAUUCUCACCUUCCGUGUGGGAGACCCAGGUUCAAUUCCUGGCCAAUAUG